GCUGAAAUGGUGGAAUUGGCAGACACGCAUGAUUCAGGUUCAUGUGCCGUGAGGCGUGGGGGUUCAACUCCCCCUUUCAGCACCA
rnacentral:tRNA from 1 species